rnacentral:rRNA from 1 species
GACGAACGCUGGCGGCGUGCUUAACACAUGCAAGUCGAACGGAAAGGCCCUGCUUUUGUGGGGUGCUCGAGUGGCGAACGGCUGAGUAACACGUGAGUAACCUGCCCUUGACUUUGGGAUAACUUCAGGAAACUGGGGCUAAUACCGGAUAGGAGCUCCUGCUGCAUGGUGGGGGUUGGAAAGUUUCGGCGGUUGGGGAUGGACUCGCGGCUUAUCAGCUUGUUGGUGGGGUAGUGGCUUACCAAGGCUUUGACGGGUAGCCGGCCUGAGAGGGUGACCGGCCACAUUGGGACUGAGAUACGGCCCAGACUCCUACGGGAGGCAGCAGUGGGGAAUAUUGCACAAUGGGCGGAAGCCUGAUGCAGCAACGCCGCGUGCGGGAUGACGGCCUUCGGGUUGUAAACCGCUUUCGCCUGUGACGAAGCGUGAGUGACGGUAAUGGGUAAAGAAGCACCGGCUAACUACGUG